UCCUUAGAUGUUCUGGGCCGCACGCGCGCUACACUGACAGAGCCAACGAGUUCUUCACCUUGGCCGGAAGGUCUGGGUAAUCUUGUUAAACUCUGUCGUGCUGGGGAUAGAGCAUUGCAAUUAUUGCUCUUCAACGAGGAAUGCCUAGUAAGCGCGUGUCAUCAGCACGCGUUGAUUACGUCCCUGCCCUUUGUACACACCGCCCGUCGCUACUACCGAUUGAAUGGCUCAGUGAGGCCUUCGGACUGGCUCAGGGAGGUUGGCAACGACCACCCCGAGCCGGAAAGUUCGUCAAACUCGGUCAUUUAGAGGAAGUAAAAGUCGUAACA
rnacentral:rRNA from 1 species